rnacentral:tRNA from 1 species
CGCGGGGUGGAGCAGCCCGGUAGCUCGCCAGGCUCAUAACCUGGAGGUCAUAGGUUCAAAUCCUAUCCCCGCAACCA